GUUAAUCGGAAAUUACUGGGCGUAAAGCGCGCGUAGGUGGUUUGGUAAGCGAGAUGUGAAAGCCCCGGGCUUAACCUGGGAACGGCAUUUCGAACUGUCAGACUAGAGUGUGGUAGAGGGUAGUGGAAUUUCCUGUGUAGCGGUGAAAUGCGUAGAUAUAGGAAGGAACACCAGUGGCGAAGGCGGCUACCUGGACCAACACUGACACUGAGGUGCGAAAGCGUGGGGAGCAAACAGGUUUAGAUACCCUGGUAGUCCACGCCGUAAACGAUGUCAACUAGCCGUUGGGACUCUUGAAGUCUUAGUGGCGCAGCUAACGCACUAAGUUGACCGCCUGGGGAGUACGGCCGCAAGGUUAAAACUCAAAUGAAUUGACGGGGGCCCGCACAAGCGGUGGAGCAUGUGGUUUAAUUCGACGCAACGCGAAGAACCUUACCUGGCCUUGACAUCCAGAGAACUUUCCAGAGAUGGAUUGGUGCCUUCGGGAACUCUGAGACAGGUGCUGCAUGGCCGUCGUCAGCUCGUGUCGUGAGAUGUUGGGUUAAGUCCCGUAACGAGCGCAACCCCUAUCCUUGGUUGCUAGCAGGUAAUGCUGAGAACUCCAGGGAGACUGCCGGUGACAAACCGGAGGAAGGUGGGGAUGACGUCAGGUCAUCAUGGCCCUUACGGCCAGGGCUACACACGUGCUACAAUGGCGCGUACAGAGGGCCGCCAACUCGCGAGAGUGAGCCAAUCCCUUAAAACGCGUCGUAGUCCGGAUCGGAGUCUGCAACUCGACUCCGUGAAGUCGGAAUCGCUAGUAAUCGCGAAUCAGAAUGCCGCGGUGAAUACGUUCCCGGGCCUUGUACACACCGCCCGU
rnacentral:rRNA from 1 species